UACGAAGGGGGCUAGCGUUGUUCGGAAUUACUGGGCGUAAAGGGCGCGUAGGCGGCUGUGCAAGUCAGGUGUGAAAGCCCUGGGCUCAACCCAGGAUGUGCACUUGAUACUGCGCGGCUAGAGUGUCGGAGAGGAUGGUGGAAUUCCCAGUGUAGAGGUGAAAAUUCGUAGAUAUUGGGAAGAACACCGGUGGCGAAGGCGACCAUCUGGACGACAACUGACGCUGAGGCGCGAAAGCGUGGGGGGAGCAAACAGG
rnacentral:rRNA from 1 species